rnacentral:tRNA from 1 species
ACGGUUAAUAAUUUGCGGUUUGAACCCGCAUGGUUUGUAAUUUUAUUUACAAUGGCUGUU